rnacentral:rRNA from 1 species
UUAGGAAUCUUCCACAAUGGGCGAAAGCCUGAUGGAGCGACACCGCGUGAAGGAUGAAGGCCUUAGGGUUGUAAACUUCUAAAAGAGGGACGAUGAUGACGGUACCUCUUGAGAAGCACCGGCUAACUCCGUGCCAGCAGCCGCGGUAAUACGGAGGGUGCAAGCGUUAUCCGGAAUCACUGGGCGUAAAGGGCGCGUAGGCGGUCUGUUAAGUCUGGCGUUAAAGCCUGGGGCUCAACCCCAGAUCAGCGUUGGAUACUGGCAGG